ACUGGGAGGAGAGGUUACUUGAGACCAGGUGCACAGCAUUACAUCCAAUCAGACUCAACCAGCAGCAGAGCCUGGAUCUCCAACUUGUUUGACAAGUAAAACACAUGGGUUGCCAACUCUACUACUACUUAUUCCAAGUUAUUUGUUUGGCUAUCAUUCAAACCUCUUGAGAAAUCCUUCAAUCAUGUUACGAAAUGCUGCUCUCUCCUCAAGGCUGUUGUUUGCCUUUGCUCUGGUCUGUGCAGCUGUCAUGUCGUUUAUCAUGUGUUCAGAAGCUGCAAGAGACAUAACAACCCAGGUGAACAAUGGAGUGAAGCACAAGCGUCUGAGAAAACUGUAUAUUCCACGCAGUCAGCAGAAUCCCCUCUUCACUGGUCAGCCAUCAACUCAAACUGGACGCCAAACUGGGACUAAUGGUGAAACUGAGACAAGCGGGAAUUCUAGAAUAGCUUCGUCAAUCAUCUACCAACGGCCAAACCCUGUACGUUUUACAGAGAGCUUUAGUUACAAUCAAAACAGUCCGGAUAACAGAGAGUCUCCAGCAGCGCAGGAUUUAAAUAGGCCAGCAAGCAGUUACCAACCGCCCUCUGGUAAUUCAUACAGAUCAAACUCAGUGAUCAUUAGAAAAUCAUCUCUAAAAGAAGCUUCCCGUCCCUUUCAUCUAAGCUCCAGUCCGUCACAAGUUUGGGAUGCUCAGAAUUCCUACAUCAAAGAAGAAGUUCCCAGAUAUGCCUCCCCUUCUCCUUUUUCAUCCCAGACUGCUAGAUAUUGGAGUGCUCCACUGCCAACUUCAAGAGGGAAUUAUAAAGAGGCUAAUGAGCCCCCCGCAUCUGGGGCACGGAGCAAAUUUUUCGGCUUCUCGAGUCAACCCGCCCCUCAUCCGCCAUCAGUCAGCAACAGCUUAGACAGCUUAGACUAUGUUAUUAAAAGCAUCCCCAGCCCAGAAAAACUGACUUCACCACAUACGGAUUUUUCCCAGAAGUUGAACUCGGUGAGCAGCAGUGACGUGCCAAGAAACAAAAAGUUCCAGUCAUAUCUGUUCAAGAACUCCCUGACCUCUGGACAUGAGAGAGUUCAUACAGCUACUAGUGAUGGACCUGCUGCUUCUUUCCCGCCGCCACAUCAGCAGGAGGCCUCUGAUUCACAAGUUUACAGCAGGUUUGCUUCAAUUGUUAAACAAAGAAAAGAUUCAACUCAGGAAGUAGAACGGCUAUCUGAUGAGGCCAAACCACUGCUAAAUAAUGCUAAUGUGGCCCAGUAUGGUCCUAAUACGGAUCAUUUUAAUAAAUAUAAAGACAUAACUCAAAUCUCUGAACAUCGUGGGAAAGAUGCCACCAUUCAAAGUGUUGACCCUAUUCCACAUGCAGAUUUCCAGGGUAACAAUACAACUGUUAGUGAUACAUCCCCAGUAAGUCGUGAUGCGACCAAAAGAGAAUCAAAGCAUGCUAACAAACCUGGAACAACCGUAAAAAGCAUCUAUGGCUUCAGAGGAUUUAUAAACCCAACAUGGAGAGGUGUGAAGGGCCAUGUCUCUAAUGAAAGAACUAACCCUCAAAGCUACAGCUUGGACCAAGGAAAGGAAGCUAAUAUACACCCUUCUUUCUCACCAAGGUUUAGCUUUAGCCGGAGACAAGCAUCCAAACUUGAGAAGACCCUAACAGAUGACCCUUUUCCUGGGACUUUAGAUAUCGUCCAAACCAAACCUAGCCGUUGGUUUACAACAGGAUUUCAGGAAAAGUCUACUAUGCAGCAUAAAACUGGUGAUAGAAGACCAUAUAAAAACUAUAAAAAACUAUAUUCUCUCAGAGGAUUUAGUACUCGACCACUCGAGGGAGCCAAAACUGUAGUUAGUGAUCCAGAAAAGUCUGCUAGAGUCCAGCAGGGGUUUAAAGCUCUUCAACCUAGAAGCCCACAGAUAUUGCAACAGAGACGCAGCCAUGUAUCCACAGUGAGCCAAAAUGAGGUAAGCAGUGAAGACCUUAAACCAACUUUAAAGGAAGCAGGAAGCACUGACACUUCACCGGACGAAUACCAAAAAAGACGCAAAAUCUACACAUUGUUAGGUUUCCAGCCAGUUCCAAACAGAAAUGCAAAUCUUAAUAGGACAGCACUAGAACACAUGACGUCCUCAUCUUUUCUCAGAUCAGACGGAAGACCCACAUUUGAAUCCAGCCCAAAAUCUGAGCCAAGGACGCCAACCAAAGUUGUUGGAAUGGGCCCGCUCUACAGUUCCACCAGCAGCACUGUGAGAGGCACACGUGUGAAAGGAAAUAAGCCCAAUGGAUUCACCAAUGAGUCUGGAAGGGCGCUCAUUGUCAGGCUGCCAAAGACCCCCGCCAGGGUGGUGGCUGUCACCUACGCCGAUGUUCUUGGAAAUGCCUUGUUCAGUGGUGUCAAAGCUACAACCCAGACACCAGCUAUACCAGCUGAUAAGGAGUAUCAGAUACCAGCUGAUAAGGAGUAUUUUCCAAAUGCUACAGCUACAACGGAGCAAAAAGAAGGGGUGGGUAAUUGGAGCUUUAACUCUGAGCAUGCUGAGUUCAGGAGAGACAACACGAGCAGAGGUUCUGAAGACCAUGAGGUAGAAGAUGUUAAAGAACACAACUUGGGUGAAGAUGUCGACGGUGGCAUGAAAACUUCCAAUUUAUUCCUGGAUGAUGAAGGAAGUGGAAGUGUGGGGUUUAAUAUGUCUGAUGUUUUUUCCACCAACACCACAAAGAUUCUUAGCGAGGAUUUGCUAGUAGUAGAUUUAUUUCCUCCAAGAACUGUCCUGUUCUGAGGAAUGACUCUAGGGAAUGUCAUGUGGUUGCUUGAACAAGCCCAAUAACAUUUCGAAAAGUACUCUUUUUGUGAUUUUGUUCUUUGGCAAACAAUGGCUGCUCCUAAGCAGAAUAACUAAAAUGAUCGAAUGAGUGAUGUUUCUUAAGAUUUCUAUGUAAGAAAACAAUCUAAUAUUGUAUGGUAACAAAUGUCAUUAUAAGAUUAUUAUGUCAAUAAACAAAUCUUGGUU